rnacentral:rRNA from 1 species
AAUGAACGCCGGCGGCAGGCCUAACACAUGCAAGUCGAACGGAUCCUUCGGGAUUAGUGGCGGACGGGUGAGUAACGCGUGGGAACAUACCCUUUGGUACGGAAUAGCCUCGGGAAACUGGGAGUAAUACCGUAUGUGGUCGAGAGACGAAAGAUUUAUCGCCAAAGGAUUGGCCCGCGUUGGAUUAGGUAGUUGGUGGGGUAAUGGCCUACCAAGCCGACGAUCCAUAGCUGGUUUGAGAGGAUGAUCAGCCACACUGGGACUGAGACACGGCCCAGACUCCUACGGGAGGCAGCAGUGGGGAAUCUUAGACAAUGGGAGAAACCCUGAUCUAGCCAUGCCGCGUGAUCGAUGAAGGCCUUAGGGUUGUAAAGAUCUUUCAGGUGGGAAGAUAAUGACUGUACCACCAGAAGAAGCCCCGGCUAACUCCGUGCCAGCAGCCGCCGCGG